GUCCCUGUAGUGCAAUGGAUAGCGCGUUGGACUUCUUCCAAAGGUUUGAAUCCCACCUGGGAUG